AGACGAACCGGACGAACGUUAUUCGGAAUCACUGGGCUUAAAGAGUGCGUAGGCGGCUUUGUAGGUUGGGUGUGAAAUCCCACGGCUCAACCGUGGAACUGCGCUCAAAACCACGAAGCUUGAGGGAGACAGGGGUGAGCGGAACUGAUGGUGGAGCGGUGAAAUGCGUUGAUAUCAUCAGGAACACCGGUGGCGAAGGCGGCUCACUGGGUCUCUUCUGACGCUGAGGCACGAAAGCUAGGGUAGCGAACGGGAUUAGAAACCCGGGUAGUCC
rnacentral:rRNA from 1 species